rnacentral:rRNA from 1 species
UGGGGAAUUUUGGACAAUGGGCGCAAGCCUGAUCCAGCAAUGCCGCGUGCAGGAUGAAGGCCUUCGGGUUGUAAACUGCUUUUGUACGGAACGAAACGGCUCUGGUUAAUACCUGGGGCUAAUGACGGUACCGUAAGAAUAAGCACCGGCUAACUACGUGCCAGCAGCCGCGGUAAUACGUAGGGUGCGAGCGUUAAUCGGAAUUACUGGGCGUAAAGCGUGCGCAGGCGGUUAUAUAAGACAGAUGUGAAAUCCCCGGGCUCAACCUGGGACCUGCAUUUGUGACUGUAUAGCUAGAGUACGGUAGAGGGAGAUGGAAUUCCGCGUGUAGCAGUGAAAUGCGUAGAUAUGCGGAGGAACACCGAUGGCGAAGGCAGCCUCCUGGGCCAGUACUGACGCUCAUGCACGAAAGCGUGGGGAGCAAACA